rnacentral:rRNA from 1 species
UAGAGUUUGAUCAUGGCUCAGAUUGAACGCUGGCGGCAGGCCUAACACAUGCAAGUCGAGCGAGGUUUUCGGACCUAGCGGCGGACGGGUGAGUAAUGCGUAGGAAGCUGCCCGAUAGAGGGGGAUACCAGUUGGAAACGACUGUUAAUACCGCAUAAUGUCUACGGACCAAAGUGUGGGACCUUCGGGCCACAUGCUAUCGGAUGCGCCUACGUGGGAUUAGCUAGUUGGUGGGGUAAUGGCUCACCAAGGCGACGAUCCCUAGCUGGUUUGAGAGGAUGAUCAGCCACACUGGGACUGAGACACGGCCCAGACUCCUACGGGAGGCAGCAGUGGGGAAUAUUGGACAAUGGGCGCAAGCCUGAUCCAGCCAUGCCGCGUGUGUGAAGAAGGCCUUCGGGUUGUAAAGCACUUUCAGUGGGGAGGAAGGGGUUGUAGUUAAUAGCUGCAAUUUUUGACGUUACCCACAGAAGAAGCACCGGCUAACUCCGUGCCAGCAGCCGCGGUAAU